rnacentral:rRNA from 1 species
GGAGUUAGCCGGUGCUUCUUCUGCGAGUAACGUCACAGAUGUAAGGUAUUAACUUACACCCUUUCCUCCUCGCUGAAAGUGCUUUACAACCCGAAGGCCUUCUUCACACACGCGGCAUGGCUGCAUCACGGGUUUCCCCCAUUGUGCAAUAUUCCCCACUGCUGCCUCCCGUAGGAGUCUGGGCCGUGUCUCAGUCCCAGUGUGGCUGAUCAUCCUCUCAGACCAGCUAGGGAUCGUCGCCUAGGUGAGCCUUUACCUCACCUACUAGCUAAUCCCACCUGGGCUUAUCCAUCAGCGCAAGGCCCGAAGGUCCCCUGCUUUCCCCCGUAGGGCGUAUGCGGUAUUAGCAGUCGUUUCCAACUGUUACUCCCCCACAAAUGGGCAAAUUCCCAGGCAUUACUCACCCGUCCGCCGCUCGUCAUCUUCAAAGCAAGCUUUUGAAAUGUUACCGCUCGACUUGCAUGUGUUAGGCCUGCCGCCAGCGUUCAAUCUGAGCCAUAAUCAAACUCUGA